CGCGGGCUGAGCGCCUAACGUG
rnacentral:miRNA from 1 species